rnacentral:lncRNA from 1 species
CAAUAAUGGACGCCAAGCUGCUGCCCACUUCAUGAUCCAUUCAUGAAUUAAAGGAAGGAAGCAGGACAUAACAGGUAUACAAACAACUGCUGAAUCUGAAGUCCUCUUCAAAUUGAGACUCAGUGGUAGAUGGUCAAAGAGAAGAAGCAGCAAAGAAGAUAAUUAUCUCUGGGACGGGAAGACCCAGAAGAUAUCCAAUAUGUUCCUAACAAACUCUGAGGAAGUUUCAUGCUGACUAGGUAAUAACUAUUCACCAUCUUUAAU